CUAUGGAUUGCCAGCUUUAGUCAUCUUGCCAAACCUUUAUAUGAAGCCUUCAAGGGCAACCUGUUGGAGCCCAUAGACCAACAGUAAUCAAGACACCCUUCGUCAAGCUCCAGGCAGCCACCCUCUCAGCCCCAGCACUCUCACUUCCUGACCUCCAGAAACCAUUGUCACCGAGCAGGAAAAUGCCCCCUGGUUUCACCUCUCCAGAAUAAAGAGAGCAACUUCACCAUUCAAGACGAGGCAGCCCAACCAGAUCCAAAAUCUUCCCAGGAAUGCUUGUGGCCCUUUACCAACCAGACAGUCAGCAAACUCAUCUUGGCUGGCUACCAGCCCCUCACUACUGAUGCCAGCUCCACCUAAUGAGACCACACCUCAGCCAUCUAAAGCCCCCACCCAACAAUGCUCCUUUGACAGCAGGAAGCAGCUAUGGAAGAAGAGACCUUCGCCCCAGUAUCCAUAAAACAAAAGGCUGGAAUGACAGGUCAUCCAGCACCAAGAUGUCUCCCUUCCCCCUCAAGUCAGCCUUCUUCCCACAAUCCAUCAUGUUUCCACCUAAACCCAGUCCCAAAAUGUCUCCCUUCCCACCCAAGUCAGGCUUCUUCUUCCCAUAGUCCAUCAUGUCCUGCCCCUCCACCAACCUGCAACUUCCAGGAACCCCUCAGGUCACCUAGUCCUCACCCAACUCUUUAAUAAACCCAACUAAGCCUCCAGGGGGCUGCUGUUUUCCCCUGGUUCAGAGGCAGCCCAGCAGCUCACUCCCCUCUACAAUAAAG
ensembl:lncRNA